CACUGAAACUAUGGGAUGUUAAGUCAUGGCUAGAAUCUUCACUAACAAAAGUAAAAGGCGUCAGUGAACCGUUACAUUUUAAAAUUACGAAAACAUCUGGAAAAAUAAAGGUUGUUUAUAAAGGGCAACAGCAUCAGUUAUGGACUGUGUUAGAUGGCAGAGGUACUUUUCUCAGAAAUCUACCAACUUCAAAAAUAAAACAGUUAAAACCAAACUAUAAAAACAUUCUAGAAAAAAUUGAGACAAUUAAAAAACAAAUCAGUGCAAUUAGUUACAUGUUUGAAAGCAGUGAAAAUCAUCUUUGGUGGAAAGCUUUUUUGGAGAAAAUAAAUACAGUGAUGCCAAUGAGAACAAAAGAGGACAUUAUAUGGAUUACUCAACUACCAAAACAGCAAAAAAAACAACAAAGAAACAUUAAAGACAACCUGGAUCCAAUACUUAGAAAGAUGUUGGAAAAGGAAACACUAAAAGUAGACCUGUGUUAUCCUGUGAAAAAAGACGAAAUUUAAAAACUAGCCGAGGGAAGCAGAAGUCGAAAAAAAAACAGAGCGUAUCCACGGAGGAAGAAGUGGUGUUAACCGUCAAAGCACUGUAGUACAGGUCAAUAGAAAAAAAACUAAAUCAACAACACCAGCAGUGCCAAAGAGAAACAGACAAACAGGAAGGCGAAUCAUGAGAUGGAAUAGCUCAAGAUGGAUCACCAUACUCACUGAUGAUGAGAGGAAAAGACACAUAGGGUUGAUAAUCAUCUUCGAACUUCUGGGACAUUUACUACUGUACAUUAUCUAUGUUUUAAUAAUGACCAGAUGUAUCAAAGAACUUUUUGUUAUGAUGGACAGAGUUUGGAAAGCUAUUUUGUUAGCACACUUGGGUCAAUUUCUGUGUGUUCUUACAGUAAACACAUACUUGGAACACUUUUGUUUUGUGUUUUGUAAUGUUAAAAAGUCAUUUCCGUGCAGUUUAUUGGUUUCGUAUCCUUCCAGGCAUUCACUUAGUAUUACGCAAUAAACAGAUCAGCACAUUUUUAAUAUCACUGGAAGACA